rnacentral:rRNA from 1 species
GCGAAUGAAUCAAAACUUUCAACAACGGAUCUCUUGGUUCUGGCAUCGAUGAAGAACGCAGCGAAAUGCGAUAAGUAAUGUGAAUUGCAGAAUUCAGUGAAUCAUCGAAUCUUUGAACGCACAUUGCGCCCGCCAGCAUUCUGGCGGGCAUGCCUGUCCGAGCGUCAUUGUCAUCCCU